UUUGAUCCUUCUUCUCUUCGGUUUCGUCGAUAGCGGCUACGGAAGUGAAGAAAGCCAAUUGAAGGUGGUUGAGGUGAUUCUAUCGAUAGCACUAUGAAUCCGCUUUGUGAAGACAGGGAGAACCGCCAUUGCCAACUUCGUCCAUUCAGAAUCACCAUCCUUGGUGAUGAUUCGAAGGGUCCAAAAUGGGUUCUUCAGAGAACCCGGGUUUGAGCGAAGCUCAUGCGCUCUUUAAGGUUGCCCAUUAAUACAGCCACCUAUCCUGAUUGCAAGUUAACAGCCUGCAACGCUGCCGUCUAGGAUUUUAACUUAUGGCUAGUUAUUUAGAGGUAUGUAACAACUAUAAGCCUUUUUAAUUGUUUCUCAUUGCUGGACUUUCUCUUAUUUCUUUGAUUGCUGAAAUGAUAAAGGUCUCUGAUUUGUAUGUUUGAACAGAUUCAUCAUCGGAAGGUACCAACACAAGUUCAACAAUAUGGAAGUUUCCCUCUUCCUAUGCAUCAGCUAGCAUUAUAAAAAAUUGAGCAUCUGAACCUUGUAAGGUUACCUGGAUACACAGAGCAUGGAGAGGAGAAGACUGUUGUUGUUGAAUAUGUUAGUAAUGGAAAAUUUAGAGAACAUGUAUAUGGUAGGACUAAGGCUUUGUUAAGUCAUCAAAUUCAGAAAUCACAUAUUCAGAUGAUAAAAACAAUAUUCAAUGACUUUUAUCCAUUAUUGUUAUGUGCUACAUAUUUCAGCUUUUGGGAUGUGCUUCAAUUCAGUUAGGACAAUAUUCAAGGAAAUAAAACC